rnacentral:lncRNA from 1 species
UUUUAUUUUUUAUAAUAUUGUUUAUAUUAUAAAUUGACUUUUGAAAAUCUAUUUGUUGAAAUGACUAUAUAUUGUCUAUUGUGUAUUUUAUUUAUAUUCUUAAAAAAGAUCUUACUCUACCAUUACUCUAUUACCUUAUUUAUUUAUCUACAAAAAUAUAUUAUUGCGAUCAUUUACCUCUCCCAUUCCAUAGUCUCCAGUUUCCAUCUUUUCCAAUCAUGAAUUAGUCGCCCUUUCUAAAAAAAGGGAAUACGAGUAAUCAAAAGAUAUCCUCUCGGCGCCGGAGAAAGUCUUUCGGUCCGACGAUUGGUGUAAACCUAGCUAGCGAUCGAGUGAUCUUUCUUUAUAUGUAAUUUUGUAAAAAAAUUAUAAGCAAUAUUGUAUUUAAUUUGCAACACUCUUAAUUGACAUGUGUUUGAUCGAACUGUUAAUUAGUUUGAAAAAACAGAAGACAUCAUUGAAGCAUGUGUUUGAUCUGUAGAGUAGUAUAUAUAUCAAUAUCAACCAAGAUAAUCUAGAAGCAUAGACAUUGGUGCAAAGCAAACUCCUCCCUGCAUCCCUCUCAAUUCAAUCCACAUAUCAUCAAACCCUAAUUCAUUUGAUGUCAUUUCUUUCUAAAACACAUAGAAUCAAACAACUAGAAUUAGAAUUACAACAUAAUUAGGUAAGAAUUAAUAGAGUUUAAUUACCUCUAACCUUAGAACAACAAACAAGAGGUGAACUAGCAGUAUCUUUCAUAUUUGUCGCAAUUGAAGCGGCGUCGGACAAGAGAGAGCUAGAAGCAGUGUUAAUUGAUGUUUCCAUCCUCUUAUCCGCCACCAUGGUAUCAUCAAAGUAAGAAGUCCAACCACUCUCCUCUAAAGAAGACGAUGCACGAUCACCACCUUCCUUCGAGGAUUGCAGAGUUGAGCCUUCCAUUUAUGAUUCUAGG